rnacentral:tRNA from 1 species
CAGUAAAUAUUUUAAUUUAAGAUAUUAGUUUUGGAAACUAUUGAUGGGUUUAUUCUCUUUACUGA